UACAGAGGGUGCAAGCGUUAAUCGGAAUUACUGGGCGUAAAGCGCUCGUAGGCGGGUGCCUAAGUCGAUUGUGAAAGCCCUGGGCUUAACCUGGGAACUGCAGUCGAUACUGGGUAUCUAGAGUAUGAUAGAGGAUAGUGGAAUUCCCGGUGUAGCAGUGAAAUGCGUAGAUAUCGGGAGGAACACCAGUGGCGAAGGCGACUUUCUGGAUCG
rnacentral:rRNA from 1 species